AUUGAACGCUGGCGGCAUGCUUUACACAUGCAAGUCGAACGGUAACAGGCCUUCGGGUGCUGACGAGUGGCGAACGGGUGAGUAAUGCAUCGGAACGUACCCAGAGGUGGGGGAUAACGCAGCGAAAGCUGUGCUAAUACCGCAUGUGAUCUGAGGAUGAAAGCGGGGGACCGAGCAGCAAUGUUUGGCCUCGCGCCUUUGGAGCGGCCGAUGUCGGAUUAGCUAGUUGGUGGGGUAAAGGCCUACCAAGGCGACGAUCCGUAGCUGGUCUGAGAGGACGACCAGACACACUGGGACUGAGACACGGCACAGACUCCUACGGGAGGCAGCAGUGGGGAAUGUUGGACAAUGGGCGCAAGCCUGAUCCAGCAAUGCCGCGUGCGGGAAGAAGGCCUUCGGGUUGUAAACCGCUUUUGGCAGGAACGAAACGGUGUCCGCUAAUACCGGGCGCUAAUGACGGUACCUGCAGAAUAAGCACCGGCUAACUACGUG
rnacentral:rRNA from 1 species